AGCUCCAAUAGCGUAUAUUAAAGUUGUUGCGGUAAAAGCUCGUAGUUGGAUUUCUGUUGAGGACGACCGGUCCACUCCACGAGUGCGCAUCUGGUUCGGCCUCGGCAUCCUCUCGAUAGACGUUACUGCGCUUGAUUGCGUGGUGCGGAUUUCGGGACUUUUACUUUGAGGAAAUUAGAGUGUUCACGGCAGGCUUUCGCCCGAAUAUAUUAGCAUGGAAUAAUACUAUAGGAUCUUGGUCCUAUUUUGUUGGUUUCUAGGAUUGAGAUAAUGAUUAAUAGGGACAAUUGGGGGCAUUUGUACUGACAAGUCAGAGGUGGAAUUCUUGGAUUUUGUCAUGACAAACUACUGCGAAAGCAUUUGCCAAGGAUG
rnacentral:rRNA from 1 species